rnacentral:rRNA from 1 species
UACAGAGGUGGCAAGCGUUGUUCGGAAUUACUGGGCGUAAAGGGCGCGUAGGCGGCCUUCUAAGUCAGACGUGAAAUCCCCCGGCUUAACCUGGGAACUGCGUCUGAUACUGGGAGGCUUGAGUAUGGGAGAGGGAUGUAGAAUUCCAGGUGUAGCGGUGAAAUGCGUAGAUAUCUGGAGGAAUACCGGUGGCGAAAGCGGCUCUCUGGAACGGUACUGACGCUGAGACGCGAAAGCGUGGGGAGCGAACGAGG